UACGUAGGGGGCGAGCGUUAUCCGGAAUCAUUGGGCGUAAAGAGCUCGUAGGCGGUUCAGCAAGUCGGCUGUGAAAGUCCAAGGCUCAACCUUGGAAAUGCAGUCGAUACUGCUGUGACUAGAGUCUGGUAGAGGAGAAUGGAAUUCCCGGUGUAGCGGUGGAAUGCGCAGAUAUCGGGAGGAACACCAGUAGCGAAGGCGGUUCUCUGGGCCUCGACUGACGCUGAGGAGCGAAAGCAUGGGUAGCAAACAGG
rnacentral:rRNA from 2 species